rnacentral:piRNA from 1 species
GAGCAAUAUGAAUUCAUGGUUGUCUUAACGC